UACGAAGGGGGCUAGCGUUGCUCGGAUUGACUGGGCGUAAAGGGCGCGUAGGCGGUUCGUACAGUCAGACGUGAAAUUCCUGGGCUCAACCUGGGGGCUGCGUUUGAUACGUGCGGACUUGAGUGCGGAAGAGGGUCGUGGAAUUCCCAGUGUAGAGGUGAAAUUCGUAGAUAUUGGGAGGAACACCAGUGGCGAAGGCGGCUCACUGGCCCGAUACUGACGCUGAGGCACGAAAGCGUGGGGAGCAAACAGG
rnacentral:rRNA from 1 species